rnacentral:rRNA from 1 species
GACGAACGCUGGCGGCGUGCUUAACACAUGCAAGUCGAACGGAAAGGCCCUGCUUUUGUGGUGUGCUCGAGUGGCGAGCGGGUGAGUAACACGUGAGUAACCUGCCCUUUACUUUGGGAUAACUUCAGGAAACUGGGGCUAAUACCGGAUAGGAGCUCCUGCUGCAUGGUGGGGGUUGGAAAGUUUCGGCGGUUGGGGAUGGACUCGCGGCUUAUCAGCUUGUUGGUGGGGUAGUGGCUUACCAAGGCUUUGACGGGUAGCCGGCCUGAGAGGGUGACCGGCCACAUUGGGACUGAGAUACGGCCCAGACUCCUACGGGAGGCAGCAGUGGGGAAUAUUGCACAAUGGGCGGAAGCCUGAUGCAGCAACGCCGCGUGCGGGAUGACGGCCUUCGGGUUGUAAACCGCUUUCGCCUGUGACGAAGCGUGAGUGACGGUAAUGGGUAAAGAAGCACCGGCUAACUACGUG